rnacentral:rRNA from 1 species
CUCGAUUGCAGAGAGGAAUUUCAUUCGGCUGUUAAAUCGGGGGCAAGGGGUUGAGCGGGGCGCCGCCGAGGAAGGAAGGGCGCCGAGCAGCCGCCUGGCCUGGCCUGACCAUCCCACGCGAGGAAGACGGCGCCGGCCUUAUAGGCGGAGCGCCCGUCUCGCCGGCGACGACCGCCACCAUGGCAUUCGCGGGCCUGGAGCUGCGGUACCCCAGGGCGCUCGACCCCCACCCGAAUUGGACGCUCGGCGACGCCCUCACCGACGCCACCCGCCGCUCCGCGCCGCCCACGCCCCUCAAGCAGCCGCCGGAGUGGGCUAGCGGUGGCGACAUGAGGGAGAAGGCCUUUGUGAUGCGGGUCGAGGAGGAAGACGGCUCGGAAGAGGAAGACGACAACACCGAUGAGGAUGCCCAUGCUCUUGUGACCACCGGGGCGAGGUUCCCAUGCAAUGAUCUCGAAUGCAGUGGAUUUGAAGAUUCUGGAGAUGAAGUAGAUUGCAGCAGUGCACCAUAUCACCUGAUGGAGAAAAGGAGCCUAGAGAAGAGCAUUCUGCUUGUGCUGGAACUUGAGCAUCAUCUGAAAAUUGAAGAGGAAGUAAGAAGUAAGCUAUCUUCAUUGGAGCUAUGCCAUCAAAAUGAAAUCCAGAGAACAAUUUCUGCAUUUGCCCGACUUCAGAAAUAUGCAGAAUCACGAAAAGAGAUAGAUAGAAGGCUGGAUGUCCAGUUCCAGAGAAAAAUUGCAGAAGUACUCGAUAAACACUUGUCUAUGGUACAAAGGGAUCAUGGACAGAAAUCCCAGAUUGUGGAACGUAGAAUAAGAGAUGAUGCAGCUGUUGAAGAAGCUAAAAGGGAGCAAUCUAUGAAGGAAGAAAAAGUAAAUCAGGAAAGGACUAGAAAAGAAGCAGAGGCCCGGCAGAAGGCAGCUGGAAAAUUAGCAGCUGAAGCACAGAAAGCAGCAUACGAGGGAGCUGCUAUAUUGAGGGUAGAGACAGUUUCUACAUCUAGCCAAAUUUCUCAGAACAGUGUUUCUCAUGCAACAAUGGUGAACAACAUUGGAGUCAAAUCAGAAUUACCAGGAAUCAAAGUUUUUGCUGAUAGUAUCGCAUUAGAAGCGGAAUUGCGGAGGCGCGCAUUACAUGACCAAGUGUCUUCAAAUAUUUACCUAAGCAAGGAGUAUAGCCAAUAUGGCCGACAAAUUGGAAAGUCUAUUGGUAAACUUACGCCAACUACUGACAGUGUCAAAGCCAGGGCUAGUGAGCUUAUUGAAGCUUUAGAUGGACAAGAUUGUCCUCAUCCAAUUGCUUGUCGUUUAUUUGCAGACAAGAUGAUUUCAAUAGUCAAGAGUCGAAAUACAAAGGACAAAACCUUUGGACCGUUAGCUUUGCUUGUGGCUAUGUAAUGCUACUAGUCACUAAUCAGGUACCAGAUGCGAUGGAUUAUCUCCUAGCCGAGUUCCACAAAGUUUGCAUGUACACAGUUCCAAAGCACCUGCAUGCUUUAAAUGCACAAGCACGAAACUCGGAUUACUACAGGCUUAUUGGCUACCAGGAAGAAGUUGAAAAAUCUCAGAGCACUGAGUCGUAUUUGGUAAAUGUUGUUGCAUACGUCAAACUGUAUGCUGCCAUGAUUCAGACAGAAAUCAAGGGCGUGCGGCAUCCACAUGGCUUAGCCGAGGGAUGGAAAUGGCUCGCGAUGUUCCUCAAUACGCUCCCAGCCAUCACAGCCACAGCUUUCGCCCUUCAUGCUUUCCUCAAGAUGGCCGGUUUCGCGCUUCACAAGAAGUAUGGUUCGCAGUUCAUGAAGAUCCUAGAUGUAAUAUCCCGGCGCUUCAUACCGGCUUUGAAAGAACAAGGCGUGAAGGUUCAGGCAGAGGCUAUCAGCAAUCUACAGAAUUAUCUGAACGACAAGGUUUAUCUGGAGGAGCCGGAAGGGCGGUACCUUGCCCAGCACCUGCUGUCGAAAGUGUUCAUGUGUGAAGAUCAACACCGGAUGGCUACCAGUGCUCCGGUUUCGUCGAGGGAGUAAGCUGACGUGUGGAGAAGCCCCCAAAUCGGCUGAAUAUCAUCUUAGAUGGUAAACUCGGAUGUAGUAGAAGUGCCACUUGGUAGAGGUCACCCGAUUCGCUGUAAUUUACGCCUGCACGUACUGCGAGGCACAGGUAUAUCUUGUCUAUAUCAGAUUCAUGUCAACAUUCUUCUGAAUGUAAGUAGUCAUCAACUCAACAAGACCGUGCACCAUUAUACUAGUACUUAAGAUUUUUGCAAAAAUUAAAUAGAAAACUCUAGUACUUAAGUGGCACGUUUUUCUGUAUUUUUUCUUGAUUUUCC